rnacentral:rRNA from 2 species
AGCAGUGAGGAAUAUUGGUCAAUGGGCGCAAGCCUGAACCAGCCAUCCCGCGUGCAGGAUGACGGCCUAUGGGUUGUAAACUGCUUUUAUACACCAAGAACUUUCGGACGUGUCCGGAACUGACGGUAGUGUAUGAAUAAGCAUCGGCUAACUCCGUGCCAGCAGCCGCGGUAAUACGGAGGAUGCGAGCGUUAUCCGGAUUCAUUGGGUUUAAAGGGUGCGUAGGCGGCUUUUUAAGUCAGUGGUGAAAUCCUGCCGCUUAACGGUAGAAUUGCCAUUGAUACUGAAGAGCUUGAGUACAAUUGAGGUAAGCGGAAUGUGUAGUGUAGCGGUGAAAUGCUUAGAUAUUACACAGAACACCGAUUGCGAAGGCAGCUUACUAAACUGUCACUGACGCUGAUGCACGAAAGCGUGGGGAGCGAACAGGAUUAGAUACCCUGGUAGUCCACGCCGUAAACGAUGAUCACUCGCUGUAUGCGAUACAAGUAUGCGGCCAAGCGAAAGCAUUAAGUGAUCCACCUGGGGAGUACGAUCGCAAGGUUGAAACUCAAG